rnacentral:rRNA from 1 species
GUGAGCCUACGGGAGGCAGCAGUGGGGAAUAUUGCACAAUGGGGGGAACCCUGAUGCAGCGACGCCGCGUGAGUGAAGAAGUAUUUCGGUAUGUAAAGCUCUAUCAGCAGGGAAGAAGAUGACGGUACCUGACUAAGAAGCCCCGGCUAACUACGUGCCAGCAGCCGCGGUAAUACGUAGGGGGCAAGCGUUAUCCGGAUUUAUUGGGUUUAAAGGGUGCGCAGGCGGUCUGUUAAGUCAGCGGUCAAAGCCCGGGGCUCAACCCCGGCCCGCCGUUGAAACUGGCAGUCUCGAGUUGGAGAGAA